GGAUGUGAGGGCAAUCUGGCUGCAACAUAUCAUACCCAUUGAUCGUCAGGUUUGACCCGGCUGAUAUGGCUGGUCAGCUGUGUCUCUUCUUCCUCACUGCUCCACGUGUGCCCUGGGUUGCUGGGGGUGGUGGGGGUACAGGACUACACAAAGGACAUCCACCCCCAAUAGGGGAGGCAAAUUUCCUUUGUCAAGGGUAUAUAGUAGCUCUGCUUCCCUGCUAGAACCUCCAAAGGAGCUCACAAGAAUGUGAAUGUAACUGCG
rfam:Fukomys damarensis contig109876, whole genome shotgun sequence.